rnacentral:rRNA from 1 species
CCUACGGGAGGCAGCAGUGGGGAAUUUUGGACAAUGGGGGAAACCCUGAUCCAGCCAUUCCGCGUGAGUGAAGAAGGCCUUCGGGUUGUAAAGCUCUUUCAGCUGGAACGAAACGGUACGCUCUAACAUAGCGUGCUAAUGACGGUACCAGCAGAAGAAGCACCGGCUAACUACGUGCCAGCAGCCGCGGUAAUACGUAGGGUGCGAGCGUUAAUCGGAAUUACUGGGCGUAAAGCGUGCGCAGGCGGAUUGUUAAGCAAGACGUGAAAUCCCCGGGCUUAACCUGGGAAUGGCGUUUUGAACUGGCAGUCUAGAGUGUGUCAGAGGGGGGUAGAAUUCCACGUGUAGCAGUGAAAUGCGUAGAGAUGUGGAGGAAUACCAAUGGCGAAGGCAGCCCCCUGGGAUAACACUGACGCUCAUGUACGAAAGCGUGGGUAGCAAACAGGAUUAGAUACCCUGGUAGUCCACGCCCUAAACGAUGUC